rnacentral:ncRNA from 12 species
GGCCUGAAACUGAACUGUCGCCAAUGGGCGGCUUGCCGUGAGGCUAGGUUUCGGGCCGCUC